GCGGCUGUAGCUCAGUGGAUAGAGCGCUUCCCUCCGGAGGAAGAAGUCGGGGGUUCGAGUCCCUUCAGCCGCGCCA
rnacentral:tRNA from 2 species